AUUUUGCUUUCACAAUAGACGAUAAAAGUUGUGCCCGAACGAUGUGUCCUGGGUAUGCUAUUUUUCAUUAGCCCUGUAUCUGCUAGUUUCUUGGAAAAGCUAGACUAUAAAGAGACAGGCAUACUUUCUGGUCACCAGACAGCGUGGGAGCAGCGGCGUUGAAUUACACCUUGGAAACAGCUUUACUGUUGGAAUCAAGAAUGACAGACAGGCCAAACGUGACGGUCAAGCACCUUGGUGGAUCACAAUACCGAGUUUCACUACAACAUGUAUUCACCUGAUCAGCAGCCUACAGGUGCAAAAGCAACUGUAAAACGUUCCAGUGUACUGGAGUUCAUGCUAGAGUUGGGUCCACUGAAUUUCAUGAUGUAUCGCAGGCAAUUCCAGGAGGGAUAAUCAUUACAGGCCAGAAAACCGAUGGCAAUACCCACGUUGUGACUGUAACAUCUCAGAUCGACCCAACUAAAUAUAUCCAAUGAGUUUAACAUCUCAAUCAUUCGUAGAUUACUAGAAUUAUGUGCACGCUGUAAUCGAUGGAUUUGCCUUUCACAACAACCAUGAGGACUACCGGAUAUUUUCAUGGAAUACUUGUUAGUUGUGGAGUUUUAGAACACACGGUAAUGUAUGGAUUUUGCCUUUAAAAAGAAAAGAAAUGGAACCUACGGAAAUUUCGAAUGAGUUCAUGAGUUACUUGUAAAUCGUCCGUCAAUAACUGAAAAACAUUCACACUGGAACCAAAGGAUUUUAUGUGUCAUUAAACGUUCAACAGGAAUACCAAAUAUUUCCUGUUCCUGAGUUCAUGGAUUACCGGUUAAUACUUGGUGGAUUAAAGGAAUAGUGUACACACUGUAACUGGUGGAUUUUUCAUUUCACAACAACCACUAGGACUGCAGGAUAUUUUCACUGGCUUCAUGGAUUACUUGUUAGUUUUUUGUGGAUUACCAGAAUGCACAGUAGUUUAUGGAUUUUGCCUUUACCUUAGAAAUAGAAACCGAAUAUUUCCAAUGAGUUCAUGGUUUACUUGUUAGCAGAUUACAAGAAAAAUGUUCAUGCUGUAACUGACGGAUUUUGUCUUUCUCAAAAAGAUCAAUAGGACUACGGAAAAUUUCCUAGUUUAGGGAUUAGUUGUUAAUGGUUAAAUUGUUCAUUAAGAAAUAGGUUCAGUACAAUACUUUUCUGCUUAUUGUUGUUGUUAGUUUUUAAUUUAUUCAUAUUUUACUCAUUUCUGGUAUAAUUGAUGGAUUACUGACAUAGCUUCUGUUUGUAACUUAAAAUAAGAUAAUUAUGAAAUUCAAAUUCAAUAAGACAUGUGGCGCACACAUUAUUAUGUAUCACCAGAAAUAAAAUGAUAAAUGUAA